rnacentral:rRNA from 1 species
GUGCCAGCAGCCGCGGUAAUACGUAGGGGGCAAGCGUUGUCCGGAAUUAUUGGGCGUAAAGAGCUUGUAGGCGGCUUGUCGCGUCUGCUGUGAAAAUCCGAGGCUCAACCUCGGACUUGCAGUGGGUACGGGCAGGCUAGAGUGUGGUAGGGGAGACUGGAAUUCCUGGUGUAGCGGUGAAAUGCGCAGAUAUCAGGAGGAACACCGAUGGCGAAGGCAGGUCUCUGGGCCACUACUGACGCUGAGAAGCGAAAGCAUGGGGAGCGAACAGGAUUAGAUACCCCUGUAGUCC